UACGGAGGGUGCGAGCGUUGUCCGGAAUCACUGGGCGUAAAGGGCGCGUAGGCGGCGCGGGAAGUCCGUGGUGAAAGCCCGAGGCUCAACUUCGGGUCGGCCAUGGAUACUCCUGGGCUUGAGCACUGUAGAGGCAGGUGGAAUUCCGGGUGUAGCGGUGGAAUGCGUAGAGAUCCGGAAGAACACCGGUGGCGAAGGCGGCCUGCUGGGCAGUGGCUGACGCUGAGGCGCGACAGCGUGGGGAGCAAACAGG
rnacentral:rRNA from 1 species